rnacentral:rRNA from 1 species
UGGGGAAUCUUGCGCAAUGGGCGAAAGCCUGACGCAGCGACGCCGCGUGAGUGAUGAAGGCCUUCGGGUUGUAAAGCUCUGUGGGGAGAGACGAAUAAGUGCUGGCUAAUACCCAGCUCGAUGACGGUAUCUCCUUAGCAAGCACCGGCUAACUCUGUGCCAGCAGCCGCGGUAAGACAGAGGGUGCAAACGUUGUUCGGAAUUACUGGGCGUAAAGCGCGUGUAGGCGGUCAGGCAAGUCGGAUGUGAAAUCCCGUGGCUCAACCACGGAAGUGCACCCGAAACUGCUUGACUUGAGUCCCGGAGAGGAAGGCGGAAUGCUUGGUGUAGAGGUGAAAUUCGUAGAUAUCAAGCGGAACACCGGUGGCGAAGGCGGCCUUCUGGACGAGGACUGACGCUGAGACGCGAAAGCGUGGGGAGCAAACAG